CUACCUCAUUAUUAAAGUAGGUUGACGGCCAUAGUUCAGAAACGAAGGGCCGAAUAAUUUAAUUUUUGUGCGCUGUCACGGGCCAAUCGCAAUGAGUGACAAUUUAUCCAAGAUGGAUAUGCUGAGGCUUGGAGAUCUAGUAUUUCCAGGAAUGAUUUCCAUUUUGGCCUCGUAUCAACUCGUUAUUUUUGCAAUGAGAGUUUUCCGAAUCCGAGAAAAGGUGAAGAUCCCUUUCCCCCAAACCACUGGAAACCCAGCAUUUGAAAGAGCAUUCAGAGCACAGCAAAACACGUUAGAAUUUAUGCCAGUUUUUAUGCCAAGUCUGUGGGUAUCUUCUAUAUUUUUCCACCCAA